CCAAGGGGAAUCAUUUUAUCGUUAAAGGAAAACGUGUAAAUGCAAUUAAUCUCAUCUUGUUCAUGUCUUUGCGUUCUCAGGUUUAGGAAUGCAGGUUGAUCACCGCAGCCUUGACUCUGCGUGUAUGUGCUUAACCCAUUCUGACUGUGGAUGCUAAGGUGGUGAUACAGCCUCUGGGGUUCCAAUAACCGUUUAGAGCCCUGCAGCGAAUGACAUAAAACCCAGAAGCAAAUCAAUAGCAAAUGUACACUAGCAGGAAAGUCCUGUGGCUGGCUGAGGACUGAAAAGUCAGUUUUACUGCUGUGCUCAGGGGUGGUUUGGUAGAAAAUUCUGGAGUCUACGUCCAGAAUUUGUUACCAGUCCAGGGUUGUUGCUGUCGCUCAUCCUGACUGUUGUGUUCACACAGGUUAACCUACCCACAAGUGAAAGCAGGUUCAGGAAAGUGAAAGAAAAGGCCGUAGUAACUUCUGCCUGUUCUGAACAACUAUAUAUUCCCUCUUAGAAGAGACUGUGUUGGCCAUUGGGAAUGAAGUUUGGCACCAGCACAAGCAGGUGUCACAGAGGACUCCUCCAGGCAAGGCCAGAUGGGAAAGACAAGGCCAGGGACUCUGCAGCUGGGAGUGAAGACAGUGGCACGGUCAGUGCAUCAUCACGUCCCUGAAUCCGUAGUGCGUGAGAGGCAAUUCCCGAGAAGGCUCCUUUCCAGCGUACGUCUCUUCUGUACACAUCUGUCCUCGCAGGAGACGUUAGCAAUCAGCCCGUUCUUUCAGAAGAUGAAGCGGGGAGCGGGACUUUUGCAGAGCUGCUGACUCCAGCGGAAAAGAGAGGCGGGAGGACUUGUGGUUUGAACACUCCGAAUCUGCUCCUUUCCCUUGGAGCACAAUCCCCAGUGUGCAACUGCUCCAUCCUGCGUCACAGCACGCGGCACCCCUGGACACUGGUAAGACAAAGCCAACAUAUCAUUAUGAGAAAACACCUCCUUUUCCUUUUGAUAAACGCAGAACCAUAUGACUGAAGUGCAGCUUGGGGAUACUCUGGAUCAAUAAAGCUGGGUCUGUGAUUGAAUAUACAUUAAAAAAACCCAAGUUACUAAUACUCCUUUUAUUUUUCCCCAAGCCCUUUUAAACUAAUCUUUAGAGAUCUAAUCCAACUGCCUGUACCAAGUAAAGCAGGGAGAUACACACGCAGAACCCAGGGAACAUUUGCCUCUUAAGACAGUGUUCGUUGUUAUCCUGUCUCUGUUGCUUUAUGGUAUUUGCAUAAGUAGGUUUCCAGAAGCCUGGUACGCUGGUAUUUGACAAAUUCAAUGUGCAUACUCUGACACUGAGAUAGCAACUAGUUUCCAAAAGAAAUUUCUGAUGACAGAUUUAAAAGAGAAUAAAAUGGGCCACAAGAGAGAUGGUAACUGAGCAGAACCGCCCUGGCUGGGCUAAGGAAGGGCACUGCAGCUCGACACGAGCUGAAAGUGGGAGUACAGUAAAAAAGAGGAGGGAACCCCAAACCAGCCUCAUCUGCAAGGCUUAAUGAAUCUAAACCCACAGGAUAAACUGCAUAGGGAUCAGUAAUGUGUGUUUCUGCACUACUUGCUGCUCUUUUUAAAUAUAUGCAGCUACAAUGACACUUUAUUAAGGACACACAGCAGGACUUUAACGCCUUUAUGUCUAGCAGCCUGAUAGCUGUCUGUAGGAAUUUUCCCGGUUUUCUGCAGAAGGUCAGGCUUCCUUGCCAAAGAUGAGAGGUUCACCACAUUGCAUGGGUUCUUAAUCUAUGCCCAUGGCAUUAAAAAACAGUUUGCAAUUUUCUUUUAAAUUAUUCUCUUAAGAAAGAAACCUGAGAGCAAGGUGGGUGUCACAGAACUGAUCACAGAAGUGCAGGGCAGAAAGAAAUGCCAAGUUUAGGGCAGCUUCACAAGCCUGAAGCACAGGGUCCUACUCACUCCAGUGACUUUGACAGACCUCAUUGAAGACCAUGGGGUUUCAGUAUCAAGGUCUCCCGAUCCAGAUCUGAUAAACCUAUGCACGCAGAACACUUCAGGCUAAAUUCAGCCUGACCUUCCCCAGCACCGCGCCUCCAGCAAGCUCUCUGAAAACAGCCAUUUGAAGUCAGAGAAAUCUGGGUCAUUGACUUCAAUAGAAACUCUGAAUAAGGAGGAGAUGCUCAGCUCCUGCACCUUUAACUCCUCUGUUACAGCUCUGCCUGGGGAUGGGCUGUUUUAAUCUGUGCUCGUGGGUGCUCUUCUAUCUCCAGUAAAAGCAAUGCCAACUUCCAAAAUCAAACAGCCUGAGCAUGUAAGAACAGCUUUCUGCAGCAUGCAAGCCAAAAGUGAGAAAGGAAGAGGAAUGGAGUGCAGGGGAAUAUAUGGAAAGAUCAAGUUGUUUCUCCCAUUGGCACCAGCUGGGAGUUGUCCUUAUUCAGGGGAAGUCAACUGCAAAACAGCCUGGCUACUCCCUUAUCGCUUGUCUCAAUCCGGUUCUGUCAUCUGGCUGGUUACACCUACUGGGUCUAAAUAAUUCACUCGGGCACCGGGGGCAGUAGGUGCGUGAAAUGGGCUUGAGAGGCUGGUUAAUGCUUUACAAGGUCAGGGUUGCUUUAAAAAGCAUAGCAGAGAAUUUGUUCCAAAAAUGUAGUCAUCGCUGAGAGUAACACUCGCUGAGUUCAAACCAGGUCAGCUGCCCAGGCAAGUACGUGUAUUUGAUCUACUGUCAUGGUAAAGGCUGACUGUAAACCUUGGCAGAGAAAAUUAUUAAUCUUUCAACUCCUAGCACAUAAGCAAUUACUAGUAAUACCUAUUUUUCUGAGAAUUGGAAUGCCUUUUGGAACAACCCCAGAUUACUUAAGAGAAGUUCCUCUGCCAUCACCCAAAAGCAGUUCCAAACCUGUCUCUCUCACAUUCAAUUAAACUCAAAAAAAAAAAAAAAAAAGGAAGGCGGGGGCAGAUCAUGGUUCAUUCAACAAGCAUUUUUCCUCUUGCGAGGAGCCACAGCCGCUCGCUCAGCUGCACACCACGUGGACAACAAACAUCAAUUUUUAAGCAAUUCAGUGCUGUUGGUAGCAGCUUUUACUUGGAAAGCCAAGCCAAGCUGCUUCCAGAACCUCUGCGAUGGCGAAGGAAGUAGGGAUCAAGCUUUGCUUCUCAGUGCUUCUCAACCUUGUCUUCAAAAGGUGCUGCUUUGGGCUCCAGUGAAGGUGUGGGUACUCAGUUGCACUCAUGUGGCUUUUUAUGUACCUCCAAGUUACACAUCACACAUAGCUGGAAAUGUACGACUGUCUGAGGCCAGCCUGGGAAUGUUUCACUGGUUUAGGAUAAAUGAGAACUAAACCAAAGGCUGGACCUUGAGUCUCUUCAAAUUCUCUCCUCUGUUUUUUUUUGGGGGGUGCAUCUCACUCAAUCCUUCCAUCCACUGUUUUGGCUCCUCAGGGGCUGAGGAGGGGUCACCCUGUAGGUAUUUAAGGUACUCUUAAGUCAUUUGCUUUUACCAAUGUUCUGUGCCUUGACCCAAAAGCCUGGUCUCCUGCAUUAUUUAUCCUCUCUCUCCGCCUUGUAGCUUGUUUCCCUUCCCCCUGCUUUUGCAAUUUUCUUCGGACAAAACAUAUUUAAAAGAAAGUGACUUAACAGAGGGAUUAAAUGCCACUGGCUGUCCAGCUGUGCCUGUUUGCAUACCUGACCAGAGGAGGCUUUGCUGAAGUUGGAGAGCUUUCUCCAACCGUGCUUGCAGCACUGGCUUCUAUUAAACAAUGAGACAGAAUGAGACAGUCAGAGAAAAGGAUUGGAUUCUUCAGACCAAUCUAUAUUUAAAUAUGUACAGAGCUCUCAAUUAGCAGCUGACUGUGAGGUACCUGUCUGCUGGCACAGGAUUGGUAUCUUUCCAUCUAUCGGUAUCGACAUUUAUGCUGAGCUGUGAUUAUUGCACACUCCUCCUGCCCCACUUUUGUCUGUGUUUACAGAGAGGAUACAAGCAGGUCCUCUGGAAGAUACUGGUUAGAUUUUUAUCUGUAAAGAAAAUGUUCACUGGAGUUUUCUGUAUAGGGAAGAAAAACUGCGAUUUGGUUUCCAGUAGGAAUUUCAGAACAGAAUUCCCAAUUAGCAUUACAAGCUAUGCAAAUGCAAUAAAUUAAGAGCAACUGCAUAAACAGUGGAAAAAGCACAGUUCUUAUCAACUACACUGAAUGUUGGUUUUUUUUUCCUAAAACAAGCAGUAGCUCCUUUGUAAAACAUGCUUAAAGUAACUUCAGUGUGGAAAUAACUUCAGUGACUCCACAGAGGCCACAGAGAUGAUCUGCAGGCUGCAGCAGCUCCCGCAGAGGACAGGCUGAGAGAGUUGGGAUUGUUCAGCCUGGAGGAGAGAAGGCAGC